AAUGAACGCUGGCGGCGUGCUUAACACAUGCAAGUCGCACGAGAACGCUUCAGCUUGCUGAGGCUAGUAAAGUGGCAAACGGGUGAGUAAUGCGUGGGUAAUCUACCCCUGAAUUGGGGAUAACAUUGCGAAAGCGAUGCUAAUACCGGAUAACAUCUUAAAAACCCCGGUUUUUAAGAUCAAAGGUGGCCUCUACAUGUAAGCUACUGUUUAGGGAUGAGCCCGCGUACCAUUAGCUUGUUGGUAGGGUAACGGCCUACCAAGGCUACGAUGGUUAGCUGGUCUGAGAGGAUGAUCAGCCACACUGAAACUGACACACGGUCCAGACUCCUACGGGAGGCAGCAGUGAGGAAUUUUGCGCAAUGGGGGAAACCCUGACGCAGCAACGCCGCGUGAGUGAUGAAGGCUUUCGAGUCGUAAAGCUCUGUCAAGUGGGAAGAACCCGCAUGGUGCUAAUAUCACCAUGCGCUGACGGUACCACUGAAGGAAGCACCGGCUAACUCCGUGCCAGCAGCCGCGGUAAUACGGGGGGUGCAAGCGUUAUUCGGAAUUACUGGGCGUAAAGAGCGCGUAGGCGGUCUCUUAAGUCAGGUGUGCAACAGCCCGAGGCUCAAUCCUCGGAAGUGCACUUGAAACUAAGGGAC
rnacentral:rRNA from 1 species